rnacentral:rRNA from 1 species
CGCGCAGGCGGGUCCUGUAAGUCGGAAGUGAAAUUUCGGAGCUCAACUCCGAAGCUGCUUCUGAUACUGCGGAUCUAGAGACCGGUAGAGGUCGGUGGAAUUACAGGUGUAGCGGUGGAAUGCGUAGAUAUCUGUAAGAACACCCGUGGCGAAGGCGGCCGACUGGGCCGGAUCUGACGCUGAGGCGCGAAAGCGUGGGAGCAAACA